AACGAACGCUGGCGGCAGGCUUAACACAUGCAAGUCGAACGCCCCGCAAGGGGAGUGGCAGACGGGUGAGUAACGCGUGGGAAUCUACCCAAUACUACGGAAUAGCUCCGGGAAACUGGAAUUAAUACCGUAUGUGCCCUACGGGGGAAAGAUUUAUCGGUAUUGGAUGAGCCCGCGUUGGAUUAGCUAGUUGGUGGGUAAAAGCCUACAAGGCGACGAUCCAUAGCUGGUCUGAGAGGAUGAUCAGCCACACUGGGACUGAGACACGGUCCAGACUCCUACGGGAGGCAGCAGUGGGGAAUCUUGGGCAAUGGGCGAAAGCCUGACCCAGCGACACUGCGUGGGUGAUGAAGAUCUUUGGAUUGUAAAACCCUUUUCCUGAAGAUGAAAGGUAGGAUUGAGAAUAUCCUUCUACCCUGACAGUAUUCAGGGAAUAAGCCCCAGCCAACUACGUG
rnacentral:rRNA from 1 species